CAGCCGUAAACAAUGUGCGUUAGGUAUGUCGGUAACCACGUGUUACUAAUGUGCCGAAGAGAAAUCGUGAAACGCACCACCUGGGAAGUACGGUCGCAAGGCUGAAACUUAAAGGAAUUGGCGGGGGGAGCACCACAACAGGUGGAGCCUGCGGUUUAAUUGGAUUCAACGCCGGACAUCUCACCGGAUAAGACAGCUGAAUGAUUGUCAAUCUGAAGGUUUUACAUGACUAGCUGAGAGGAGGUGCAUGGCGUCAGUGACU
rnacentral:rRNA from 1 species